rnacentral:rRNA from 1 species
GACGAACGCUGGCGGCGCGCCUAACACAUGCAAGUCGAACGAGCGAGAGAGAGCUUGCUUUCUUGAGCGAGUGGCGAACGGGUGAGUAACGCGUGAGGAACCUGCCUCAAAGAGGGGGACAACAGUUGGAAACGACUGCUAAUACCGCAUAAGCCCACGACCCGGCAUCGGGUUGAGGGAAAAGGAGCAAUCCGCUUUGAGAUGGCCUCGCGUCCGAUUAGCUAGUUGGUGAGGUAACGGCCCACCAAGGCGACGAUCGGUAGCCGGACUGAGAGGUUGAACGGCCACAUUGGGACUGAGACACGGCCCAGACUCCUACGGGAGGCAGCAGUGGGGAAUAUUGCACAAUGGGGGAAAUCCUGAUGCAGCGACGCCGCGUGGAGGAAGAAGGUCUUCGGAUUGUAAACUCCUGUUGUUGAGGAAGAUAAUGACGGUACUCAACAAGGAAGUGACGGCUAACUACGUGC